rnacentral:rRNA from 1 species
GUCUCUUAGAGUAAAUUGAGAGUCUAACCUGCCCAGUGAUUUAUUUUUAACGGCCGCGGUACCCUGACCGUGCAAAGGUAGCAUAAUCAUUUGCCUUUUAAUUGAAGGCUAGUAUGAAUGGUUUGACGAAAGUAAAGCUGUCUCACGUAGGCUUACUAAAAAUUAAUCUAAAGGUGUAAAAGCCUUUAUAUCUUAGAAAGACGAGAAGACCCUGUUGAGCUUUAGUUUAAUUGAGCAUAUUUCUAUAUUUAUACAAUUCACCUGCUCAAGUACAACUUUAAUUGGGGCGAUUAAGGAACAUUCAGUAGCUUCCUACUAUACAAAUUAUAUAGACAUAUUAUAUCGAUCCAGCAAUGUUGAUCAAUGGAUUUAGUUACCACAGGGAUAACAGCAUAAUUCUUUUUAAGAGCUCAUAUCGAAAAAAGAGAUUGUGACCUCGAUGUUGGACUAGGGUAACAGAAAGGUGCAGCCGCUUUUCUGUUUGGUCUGUUCGACCA